rnacentral:antisense_RNA from 1 species
CAGUUUUGGUGACUUCGCUCCCUAUAAGCAAGUUACCUCGAAGUAAAGAGUUGGUAGCUCUGAACUUCGGCAACCAAACCACCGUUGGUAGCGGUAGUUUUUUGU